CCAAAAAUUAUAUGUAAAUGAUAUUCCAACUCUUCCAGGCUCCUUGGCUGCUUCAAUGUACGAAGACUGCGGGUUCAGACCCACAUAAAGGUGCCUAAACGCGGAACAUGUGCACACUCCACAGCGUCCCGAAGACCAGUACGGCAGUACAUCCUGGGGCCCUGACAAUGGACAAGGAAGCACUGAUUGCAUGGAUGUCAAGGGCAACCUUUCUUCCUGCGAAAAUGGGCCGGACGUGCAUCUGCAGAAAAUGGAUGAAAACUGGGACAAGCACCAGUGUCGUUUCUGCGCUUACUUCAGCCGUUCUCCGGCGAACGUUACUAUCCACGAAAGGAAGCACACAGGAGAAAAGCCCUUCAUUUGCCAAUUCUGCCGCAGAGCAUUUGCAAUCAAGAAGACCUUGCUGAACCACGAAAGAACUCACACGGGUGAAAAGCCAUUUGAAUGUCAGUUUUGCCAGCUAGCGUUUGCACAAAGGAUAAGUUUGGUGCAUCAUGAAAGGAUCCACACGGGGGAAAGACCGUUCAUGUGCAACGUGUGCGGGAGCGAGUUUGCACGUAAGUCGAGCUUGGUGGAUCACGAGAGGACCCACGUGGGAGAGCGGCGGUACAGGUGCGAGACCUGCGGAAGAACCUUUAGACAGAGGGGAACAUUAAGAAGGCACCAGAAAAGUCAUGACGUAUUGCCUGUCACCUAAUAACUGAGAAACAUGUUGGCAUCCGAGGCCACUAGUAAAACUCCACCUUGUGUUCACCCCUUUCUGAGAAACAUGGAUGUGUCGCAUCUGUGGCCAUGAGUGUUUGUGUCAAACUAAAUGUUUUCGUCAUUUUGUAUUUUGCAUAUUCUCUUAGAAAAAUAAAAACGUGAAAAAGUU